rnacentral:lncRNA from 1 species
UUCUUUUUUUUUUUUUUUUUUUUUUUUUUUUUUUUGCUUUUUAGGGCCACACCCAUUACACAUGUCAGUUCUCAGGCUAGGGGUUUAGAGCUGUAGCUGCUGGCCUACAUCACCUCUGGGACAUAAACUGCAGUUCACGGCAACACCCGAUAACUGACUUACUGAGCAAGGCCAGGGAUUGAACCCGCAUCCUCAUGGUUACUAGUCGGAUUUGUUUCUGCUUGUGCCACGAUGGGAACUCCUGUUUCAUUUUUAAACAAAGGUAAUAUGUAUUAGUCUCACUUGUCCAUGAAUACAAUAAUGAGAAAGGCUCAUGAAAUUAUUUGUUAUCCAGAAAUAACCUUUGCAAGUAAUGUUGGUAAGUAUAGGAAAAGGAAAAAAUCUUUACCAUUUUCUUUCUCAUCUUCAGUAUAACUGUGGUAUUUUAAGCUUAAUAGAGAUAAACUGAACAGAUUUACAUUUAGACUUAGUUUCACAUUCUUACAGAUUAUUUUUAGGGCUUGGUGAAUCAGGAGUGUUUUUAUGUCUUAGACAAACUUUAUUUUGUAAGAUACUUCUUUAUAUAAGCAAUAACCUCAAUUUGAGUUACUGUGGAAGACAAAUUUGUGAAGGAAAUGGAACCCAGCAGAUUUCUCAGAAAUAGUAUAUGUGAGAAACGCGACUUGUAUAAUGCAGUGAUUUCUAUAAUUCGUCAUAUGUUUGGGUAAUUAGAAAUUUUUCCAGCCUUAUAGUCAUUGAACAUCUAACCAUAAAGAAAUGAGACAAAUCUAGUUAAUAGCCCUAAAAACAACCCCAUGACUCUUAGGAAAAAAGAAUCCUGGCACUCCAUAGCAAUUUUAUUUACAACACUAGUAUUCGAGAAGUUGGUGAUGCCAGCUUCUGAAAGAAUAACCUCAGUGUCCUGGAGAAAACUUGGAUUAGGAAAAGUGAAAUUAGAAAUGCCUUCAGUAGAUAAAGAAACCUACCUUCUUUCUACCUCUCAAAAUUUGAUUUGUAUUAUAAAUAGCUUGUUAAAAGAGUAUUGAGUUACUUCUGUUAGAGCAAGGGUUUUUGCAACGGGGCUAAGUGUCUGGAUUGCCUAUAGAACUCUAGAAGUGUUUAGCUUAUUGCCCACGCAUCCUAGCUGAAUUAUUCUCCAGGGUUGUAACCAGCUGUUGUGUAUUUUUAAAAUACUGUAGGUGAGUGUACAGAGGUAGAGUAGAGCAGCCCUCCACAUCCCGUAUUUUUUGUGGUGUGUCACACAAUAACAAAAGUUUUAGCAAAUAUUUUAUUACUAAUUGUACUCAUAAAUGUAUUUUGAAGAUGUAUAGAUGACCUAAGGAUCAAUUUAUACAUGGUAGUUCCUGGAGAAGAUGGUAGCUUCCUGGAGAUUUCUUAGAGUGAAGGUUUAGUCUAAUACUAAGAAAGUCUGAUCAUGAGAGACACUUGGUCAGUAAGAGUGCAAAGCUGUGACAGUUAUGGUAAAGUAACAGAUAUUUAAAAGAAACAAGUAUCUGGACAUGAGAAUUUUCUGAAAAUAAUUUUGCUUUAGUAACUCCUUGCCCUAAACCCUGAUUUUUAAAAACUUAUUGAUGUUAUUGUAGUAUUUGUGGUGUUUGGGUGCAUGAUAUAUAAUAAUAUGAGUGUCCUUUUUUUAGCUCCAGAUAUUUUGACUCAGUUACUAAAUUUGUGAUCUUUAUAUUCAAAAUUCUUAGCAGUCUUUCAUCCAUAACUGCUGAAGAAUAAAAACAUGAGAAAGAGAGCAACUAUAUAAAAAUUUUAAAGCAGCCCCAAGAAUCCAACCCUUAAUGAGUCCUCCUCCUUUAGAGGAGGAAGGUCCUCUUGGAAAUGGUUAUGUAAGGCUGACUUUAGUGUCUUAAACCAUAUUAGUGGCCUCUGGAUCCCUGCUGCUUCAGUUUCAAAUCUAUAUUAAAUGGCUUGCUAGUUUUUUACAGAAAUUAGUAACAUUUUAAGCUUCAGUGGUAGUAGCAGCCUCUUGGUGAGGAUUAAACAGAGUUAUGCGAAGCAUCUAGUAGAGGACCUUGGACCUUGGAACUUGUAAGUUUGUUGUGGAUUUUUUUAAGUUUUUAAAAAGUUGUCUCGAGUACUUAGGACAUAAAGACAGGGAUUACCUCAGAUGAACUCUUAGUGAGUUAUUGGUAAGUCAUACUUCAAUGACCGAAUUCUUAGUAGAAUACAUUUCCAGUUUUUUCCUCUGAUAAAGUGAUACAGGGCAGCAGGGGUUUUUUUUAACCCAUACCACAUAAGGAAUGUAAAAUUCCUGUUACUGAGAUCAUCUUAAGGCCUGGGGUGGCUGAAGUGGAAAAAAUUACAUAACAAUAAAAUUUUGCUUGUGUACCUGUGUAGUUCAAAAAAGGCCCACAAUUGAUUAUGAAAAUUAGACCCUGUCUCCCUUCAUUAAGAAUCACUAUAAAUUCUCCAAAAGAUGAUAUUUAGAGUUCCCGUUAUGGCUUAGCAAGUUAAGGACCCGUUGUCUCUGUGAGGUUGUCGGUUGCUUCAUAACCUCAUUCACUUGGGUAAGGAUCUAGCAUUGCCACAAGCUACAACUUAGAUCACAGAUUCAGCUAUGUCACAAGCCCCAGCUGCAGCUCUGAUUUGACCCCUAGCCUAGGAACUUCCAUAUGCCACAGGUGUGGCGGUAAAAAGAAUAAAUAAAUAAGAUGAUAUUCUAAAUCAUAAAAAAAAUGUUAGAAUUGUUUCAUGCCUCAAAAAGUUCUAAAAUAAUGCUUUUAUAUUUCAGGCUAUUCAAUGCAAGAGAACUAUUAGUUAUCUGCCUUUCUGUAUCUCUUCCCAGAUCAAAUCAAUUUUCUUAACAUUCUCAGAAAUGAAAGGUGAUGUAAACCCAGCAGUUAAAGUAAAAAUUAUUUUAACCUGAUCACAGAAUUGAGUUAAGAUAACCAAACUUAAGGGAGAAAAUGAAGAACAUUUUAACAAAAGUUCUCAUUAUAUCGUAACCUUAUGGGAGUUCCUGUUGUGGCUCAGCGGAAACAAAUCUGACUAGCAUCCAUGAGGACGCAGGUUUGAUCCCUGGCCUCACUUAGUGGGUUAAGGAUCCAGUGUUGCGGUGAGUUGCGGUGAGCUGUGGUGUAGGUUGCAAACAUGGCUUAGAUCUGGCGUGGCUGUGGCUGUGGCGUAGGCCAGCAGCUACAGCUCCAAUUAAACCCCUGAGCUGGGAACCUCCAUAUGCCUUGGUUGUGGCCCUAAAAAGACAAAAAAACCAACAUGUAUAUGUAUUAUAACCUUAUAUUGAGUUAAGUUCUGCUAUGGUGUAUAUUUCUGGAGGGUUUUUUGUUUUGUUUUGGCCCUUGCCUGGGACAUGUGGAAGUUCCUGGGCUAGGGAUCUCAGCAGUGACAUCCUGGAGUCCUUACCCUGCUGUGCCACAGGGAAACUCCUAUAGUAUGUAUUUCUAAAGUGGACACAGAUGAGCAUGCCAAACAAUCAGCAGUUGGAGUUUCUCCAGAGAAUACCUUUAACUCAUUCUGAAAACUAUAAUAUUUCAUAUUUUGAACAGUUUACUUUGUGUUAACGAUAUUCAGAAAACUAAUACUUGUUUUCUAAUCUUGUUUUAGUUGACCCACUGUUGUGUUGGUAAGAAGUUGACAUAAUUUUAGCUCCUGGAUUUAGUUGCUGCAAAAGGUAAAUGCAGUAAAUAUCCCAAGGUCAAGAUGUAAAAUCGAAAUGUCAGUAGCUAAUGAUUAAUCAGAAAAGUGAGCCCUCCUACAGUUUUUCUCAGUUUUUAAUGGGUUUGGAUAAAGCGGCACUGGAAAUCAUUUCAAGAACAAGUAUAUAAAUUUAGUCCAAUAUAAAUAUGUUCGUGAAUAUAGCCACUCAUGGAAACUACAGAGAUACACAAUUGUAAGCAGUUAUGUAAGUAGGUACUAUUCGUAAUUAAUAUGAUAUGGACUCUGAUGAUGCCCUAUGUUUUUGAACUUGCUGUAAAGGUGAAUCCUCAGUUCUGUCUUAAACACUUUAGGAAAUGCUCAUCAGUCACCCUCCUCACCCUUAACUCACGAUUUGAUGAAUUUGGCACAUAAGUGGUUACAAAUGGAAUAGCCUAGGGACUUGUUUUGAGCAACUCCACCACCAGAAGGUAAAACUCAGGAACCAUAAUCCUUGACAUAACCUAACCUAUUUUUUUCUUCACUUUGAGCCAAAGAAAAACUCAGCUUUACUCCUUCUUUACCCUGCAUUACCAGACUUAACCAUUAAUGUUGUAUUACAUUGGAUCUUUCAUAGUUUCUUAGCAAUUGUCCCCAAAGUUUAUUUUUUUGGCUUUGCCCACAGCAUACAGAAGUUCAUGGGCCAGGGACUGAACCCACGCCACAGCUGCAGCCAGUGCCACAUCAGUGACAACACAGGAUCUUUUCCCAGCUAGGCCACCAGGGAACUGCAAUAAAAACUUAUUUUAAGUUUUAAACAUGCUAAAAUAAAGCAGUUGCUUAAAGGGUAACAUACAAAAGUAUAUCUUAGCUAUGGGCAUGGCCCCAAAAAAAAGGUUUGGCUCUGAAAGAGGUGAGAAAUAAUAGUUUACAGAGGGCAUGUGGCAUCGAAAAAAUUUUAUAUUUAAAUCUUCUCCUUCCAGAUCAAAGUCAGGUUCUACUUCAGGACAUUCUUACCAUUUCCCAGAGGAAUUAGGACUUAAAAUUUUACUUUGGCUUGAAGUCAAGUCAGGGGAAGAUAUGGAAGAUUUCUGAAGUACUUUUGUGGUUUUUUUCUCCAUGACACUCAGUGCUUUUCAUUUGAUUUAUUUUUUCCUUCCCAGUUUUCAAUUCUUUGUAAAUCUUUCAUUUAACCAAAUUUGUACUCUUAAGAAUAGUGGUUUUUGGAGUUCCUGUCGUGGCGCAGUGGUUAACGAAUCCGACUAGGAACCAUGAGGUUGCGGGUUCGGUCCCUGCCCUUGCUCGGUGGGUUAACGAUCCGGCGUUGCCGUGAGCUGUGGUGUAGGUUGCAGACGCGGCUCGGAUCCCGCGUUGCUGUGGCUCUGGUGUAGGCCAGGAGCUACAGCUCCGAUUCAACCCCUAGCCUUGGAACCUCCAUAUGCCGAGGGAGCGGCCCAAGAAAUAGCAACAACAACAACAACAACAAAGACAAAAGACAAAAAAAAAAAAAAAAAAAAAAAAAA